CACUCAGGGAGGGGGUCCUUCAGCCCGGAUUGUGUGAGGGCGCAGGCCAGGCUGAGGGACCCCACCAGUGCACA
rfam:Myotis lucifugus cont2.53838, whole genome shotgun sequence.